UGGAAGAAAGCAGAACUUAGAAGAAGCUUGCUUCCAGUAAGAACCAGUACCUUGGCUGGGUCUCCAUGACUUCCCCCUAAACUACUGCAUUUCUCAGACUUUGUAAUGAGGAGAAUGCAAACAAACCUGAGGGCAGAGGGACCUACUGGCAGAGAUGGGUGAAUCCCUACCAGAAUAUUAUGUGUUUGAAAGCUCAAACUUCCUUAAACUACAGAAUGUGAUCUCAAAGCUAACAAUUUCCAUAGAUAAAACAACAGAGUGUCUUUGCUGAAAUUCCCUAAACAAGCCGAGGAAAUGAGAAAGACCUAUUUCAAAGCAUGAGACAAAAAUACAGACAUGCAAAUUCUGUGGUGAAUGAUGGGAUUGGAACUGAACCAGGAAAUUCACCAUGCAAAGGUUGUGGGUUCCCAGAGAGAAAGGAACACAAAGGUUAUAAAAAUGAGAGCUGAUGUUUCUCUGGGCUGAACCUCCAGGUUGAUAGGAAAAGAAACACACUCAGCAAUGUACAAGUAAAAAGAAUGUCUCAAAACUCUUAUAAAACUCUUAUACCCUUGCAGCCAGUAAGCAGGCUCCAGUACACCAAAGCUGAAUGUGGGCUAAUGAAAGAAUCAGCCUCCCGCAUGGACCCAGUCAAGGACUAGGUGAAAGAUCUGCAAAGGCUUGCAAAGGCCACAAGUGUCCCAUCUGAGAAGUGGGUUUAAGAGAACAGGCUAAGCAAACAGAAGAUGAAUCAGAGCAGAGAUGUCAAGACCAAAGAUGGAGAGGAAAGAGAGAAGCAGAGGAAGCAAGCCAUGACCUAUAUAUUUGUAUCUAAAUCUAUUUAUAAUGUGUGAUACACGUGUUAAGUCAGAACUCAAGACAGAUGGAACUCACUGUGGGGGAAAUUCUAACAAAGACUAAAUGAUCUCAAUUAAACACUGGCAUCAGGUGACAGUAAUGACAGGAAGAAAACCACACUCCAGAUGUGUAAGAGAGGAGGGGGUGAGGAGACAGAGAAAAGUGGGAAGGGACCAUAAUCUAAAGAUCCCAUUUCUUUGGGGCGGGGAGGAUAAUGGUAACAUUGCAGGAUUGGUUGUAUCUUUAUACACUAGAAGGGUUCAUGUGUGUCUUACAGCACAGACCCAGGUUGUAAUUAUCCAAGGUUUUUUUGUUGUUUCUGUUUUUUUUUUUUUUUUUCCUAGACAAAGUCUCGGUAUGUAUCUCACGCUGGCCUUGAACUCUCUCCCUUUCUAUGCCUCAGCCUUCUGAGUGCUGGCACAAGAGAAAACAUUUGCUACAGAGAAACAAACACAUCACACCCCAGAGCAAGCCCAGCCAUUUUCAGAUGUCUCUACGCCCUUGACAAAUAGAAGUCACCAAAGAAGCACGUCGCUCCAUAACGCACAGAGAAGGAUCGGACCACUGGGGUAGCCCUCCCAGACUUUCACUAAGACUUUCCCCUCUGCACAGACAAUUCAGCUUCGGUUACAUUUCUUAUUACCCCUAAAAGGGGCGUGCACGUGUUGCUACAGCAGGGAGCCAUGCCCUUCCAUAGCACAUGAAGAUGGCCACCUCAGGAUUCCCCUGAAGACAUAUCCUAGCCUCAGCCAGUUGAGCUUCGGCUACACGUCUCAUCACCCAGAGCAGACUCACUCGUCUCCCCAAACAUCCUGAAGCCCCAGGUGCUUCUUAAACUUUUCCCGGAUAAAUAUAAAUAAAUGUGUGCUGCCCCCACACAGGGUACAAUUUUACUGAUGUCCGACUCCGUGAAGCAGAGAGUUUGACUCACAGAGCUUGGGUGAGGAGUUACUUACAAAAAAGCAUGGGUGCAGGGCUGGUGAGAUGGCUCAGCAGGUAAAAGCACUGACUGUUCUUCUGAGGGUCUUGAGUUCAAUUCCUAGCAACCACAUGGUGACUCACAACCACCCGUAAUGAGAUCUGAUGCCCUCUUCUGGUGUGUCUGAAGACAGCUACAGUGUACUUAUUUAUAAUAAUAAACAAAUCUUUGUGUCGGAGAGAACAGGAACUGAGCAAGCAGAGUUGACCAGCGCGAGCAGAAGUCCUAAAGUUCAAUUCCUAACAACCACGUGAAGGCUCACAACCAUCUGUACAGUUGCAGUGUACUCAUAUAAAUAAAUAAAUAAAUCCUUUAAAAAACAAACAAACAGGGCUGGAGAGAUGGCUCAGCGGUUAAGAGCACUGACUGCUCUUCUGAAGGUCCUGAGUUCAAAUCCCAGCAACCACAUGGUGGCUCACAACCAUCCAUAAGGAGAUCUGACACCCUCCUCCGGAGUGUCUGAAGACAGCUACAGUGUACUUACAUAUAAUAAAUAAAUAAAUCUUUACAAACAAACAAACAAACAAACAAAAAAGCAUGGGUGACCUCAACACAGUCAUGUCACUGCAACAUCUCAACCCAGCCUGGAUAACAGCUUCCCCAUGGCAGUAAGGGCGGAGUCCCCUUCAGUUAACCAUGUGUACUCUAGUACCUCCUAGAGUCACCACAGUGGGUUCACUUGCACAUAUCUGGGAUGCAAGUGUAAGAAAGAGUGGCUGGCCAGAAUAGUCAGAGCUAUACAGAGAAACCCUGUCUCGAAAAAGCAAAAAAAAAAAAAAAAAAAAAAGAAAGAAAGAAAGAAAGAAAGAAAGAAAGAAAGAAAGAAAGAAAGAAAGAAAUAGUGGCUGGGACCUCAGGUGAGGGUCUCAUGGCCCCUCUAAGUCAACAGGCCUGAUCCUGAAAAUUUCUUGCGAGUCGGCACAGCUACACCAUAAGAUGGUCGUGUCGGUUACACUGGGAGAGCAGCAUUCUCCCACCCCGUGCAGCCUAUAAGGCAAGGUAAAAGGCAAAGGUUAACCCAUGGGAUGAAAGGAAGAAGCCCAAAGUAGAUGAGUGUCAGUGAAAAACAUGGCGAUUUCCCUGGGAAGACAUGGAAACUAUUGGUGCCGGCCCCAUCCUUAGUGAGUGUCAUGCAGGGCUUGCACUCCAAGUUGGCAGUGGAGCAUGCUGGGUAAAAACAGAAGCUUUUCUGCAACCCUGUGGGUCCUUGUUCAUCCUUCCUCUCUCCUGUUUUCUCCAUCCUCACUGCAGAUUCUAAGCUUCAGCACCAGACAGAGAUGUGUGCAUGUGUGUGUGUGUGUGGUGUGUACAGACUCUUGUCCCAUUGAAUACACUUAAGAGAUUAGGCGAUUUUGUCCUGUGUGAACACCGUAGGCUAUACUGAUGGCAGUGGCUCCUGCUGACUUGUGUAGAGGCUGAGGCCUGGCUGUGUCACCACUGUUGCUAACCUGACUGUACUGAACUGGACUAGUGGUGUGUCUGUGAGGUGUUUGCGAGUGGA
rnacentral:lncRNA from 1 species